rnacentral:lncRNA from 1 species
GUUGGUUUAGAGAGCACAUAGUAUAUAUAGUGCACAGUUUAUAUAGUAUGUAACUGCUAGUUAUUCAGAAACAGUAUAAUAUUUUCUGCUGAAAGAAAAUGAUUACAGAAAAAAAAGAUUGCUGAGCCUCCCAGUAGGUAGUGCACAAGAUAGAUGUCAUUCAAAGUGAUGUGCUUUCCAACAGCAUGAGAGUUCUCAAUAAACAUAUGUACACAAUUUUGAAAUUAGAUUUCUUCCCCAAAAUGUCCAAAUCAUAUGUUAAACAAGAGACAAAUGGAGAUGUGAAAAACCUCACAUGCUUUUGAUUAGGACAAGAUGCAGUCAGGCUGGCUGCUAGUUCUUUCCACUUGGAUCCUUAAUGUUGUAGGUAAUUCUCCCCACCCGGCCACUGCAGCAGGAAUCCAGUGCCUGUCAACUGCCGGACUGGCUGGUUUCCUGUGGAAUCACAGGACCUGCUGAAUCUUGAAGGCAUCACGACUUUGCUGUCUACUACUGAGUUCUCCAAAGAGUACAAGUGGGUUUGGAUAUAUCACAUAUUUACACCUUUUGCCAUAUAUACAUAUACAAAGUUAUUUAUAUAUGUGUCCAUGUGUUUAUGCUCACACACAUUUGUACUGUUGAGUAUAAAUACUCUAAAAAUUUUCAAAGUUGUGACAAUAAGAUCAGGUGAUGCUUGGGGUUGCUAUAAUUUUUAUUAGACAUCUGGAAGGUACGUCCUGCAAUAGAAGUUUCUGCAAUAAGGUGCUGACAUUUACCUCAAAGUGCUGUUUAUUUACUUCUUCAUUUGGGACCUGGUAUUGAAAGGGUCAGGGAUGGCUCAGGGAAAAGGUCCAGUUAUUUGAAAUUCUUCUGGUUUAUUUCGUUGGUGUUUGUUCAGCGUUUCAGUUUAAUGAAGUUGUCCUUCCAACUCAUUCCUUGAGCUCAGUGACUCCAGGCUUUUUUAGAAAGAUUACAAGGCCAAAUGCAUAUUGUAUUAUAUGUCUCUGUCAAUCCACAAGGCCUGUGGAUCAGAAACGGGGAAGAUAGAAGGCAUAUGGAAAAUUGAAUGUUUCCUCUAACUGUGUAUGUGGAUCUUCAAUACACAUCGGUGGGUCCAUGUGGAUGAUACAUAUUUGUGUCUUACUAUAAGCAGCUGGAAGGGAUUAGAGUUUGUGAUAAGGAUCUGGUUGAAUGCUUUCUUCUAUUCUGAGAGAUGUUUCUGUAGGUGUGUAAAUACUGCUAGAAAGUAAUUUAGAGAGAAAAGUAAUCUAUUCAAUGGCAAGGGCCGUUAAUUUUAAGUUCUAGAUGCAAAUGUUAUAAUUGCUUUAUCUUUCAUGGCAUUAAAUAAAUGAAUCACCAUGUGGAUUGAUCUAUCUCUCUCAUUUACAUGCAUACACACACACACACAUACACACACACACACACACAUAUGCAGGAAUUUCUCCCUCCUUUCUCACUUAUAGGUCUCAAGAAUAACUGUAGAAUGUGCUGGGAAUACAACAUCCCUGGCUGGCAGCAAUAGCCUGGGCUCUGUUCUAGUUCCCCCUUAAAACAGGAAAUCUUUCAGCACUGUAGCUGAGAUAAUCACAUGACCCUAGAGUAUAAAACCUAAGACAAAGCUGCUUUCAGCAGUAGUGAGAGUGGGGUAGUUUCAGAUGAGACUCUUAUCUCCCUCGGCAGCUUUCUUGAGCCUUGGAAGACUGGCUUACUGUAAAUCCUAGGCCUCUGUUGUCCCUUGCUGCCUAUCUGUGAGUGAAACCUACUUCAUGCAACAUGCUGUGUGUGAGUGUGUUCUGUCUUAUGGGACUCAGGUAAGUGGGUAAGCAGGCACCGUGAACCUGCUACACAAUAUGCAAUACAUAUAAUGCACACACUCAUGUAGAUGUAAGCUUGGGCUGAGGUGAAUACUGGAGAUACAAGGAAGCAUCCCAUAGAAAAACCUAAGUAUAAAUCAAAUAGAUAAAUAAAGCAAAUAACUUUCUCCUUAACAUGUCCCAUAUAUAUUAUCUUCAAAAAUUUUUGCAAGGUUUCAGAAGGAGCAACCAGAAGGAAGUACUCUCUUCUUGCGGGGGUCACUGCUUACAACACAACUGUGGAAAGUCAAAUAAUCUUCCAGGUACCUCGGUUUUCUCAUCUAUAACAUGAGAUACUUAAAAUAGAGUAUUUGUAAAAAUCAUUUCACCUUUAAAGUUUCAUAAUCUGUUUUAUCCUGCACAGCAUUCCUCCUCUUUAUUCUUUCAGGGGGAUAUUAGCCUUCCUUGCCUUCCUGCUGAGAACUCUUCUUGCCUGGUCUAGUGCAUCUCAAUGUCACUGAACACAGGGUGGACAUGGCACAGACUGGCAAUGAGUUUUUCUUUUCCUGGUCUGGACACAAAAGCAUGACUUUAGAAAACAAUAUAUCUGAGGUUUAAUAUGGGCGCUGCAAAACAGAGCAUAAGCCUCCUCUGAGAACGUGAGUGCAAAGGUUAGGGGAGUGUGGAGCUUCAGGGGAUGUCUGCUGUGAUGUGGGGAACGGUCUGCAGGAUAAAGCGUCAAAAGCACUGGACCCGACACGGUCUUACAGGCUCUGCCUGGGCCACCAGACUGACUAGGCUGGG